rnacentral:tRNA from 1 species
GUGUGGUUAGCUCAAUGGUAGAGCGCUGAACCAGGAUUCAGAGGUUGCGGGUUCGAAUCCCGCACCACGCU